AACGCACCUUGCACCCUUUGGUCUUCCAAAGGGUAUGCCUGUUUGAGUAUCAUUAAUAUAUCAACACAUAAUUUUGAUGUGCUUGGAUGAUGAAGGUGUGCUGGCUUUUUAUAGUCAGCUCCUUUUAAAUACAUUAGCAGAACUAUAUAGGACUGGCUUCAGUUUGAUAAUAACUUAUCUGUGCUGCUGCUUGUGACUUUUGUUCAGCUGAUAAUUGUCUUUGGACUGUCUCUAUGGCAUAACAAUCUUAAAUUGAUCUCAAAUCAGGUAGGAUUACCCGCUGAACUUAA
rnacentral:misc_RNA from 1 species